UACGUAGGAGGCAAGCGUUGUCCGGAGUACUGGGCGUAAAGCGCACGCAGGCGUCGCAUCAGUCUGGGGUGACAGUUCCCGGCCUAACCGGGAAAGUGCUCUGGAAACUGUGCGACUUGAGGGCUUCAGAGGGAUGUGGAAUUCCAGGUGGAGUGGUGAAAUGCGUAGAGAUCUGGAAGAACACCAAAGGCGAAGGCAGCAUCCUGGGAAGUUCCUGACGCUCGGGUGCGAAAGCCAGGGGAGCGAACGGG
rnacentral:rRNA from 1 species